GAAGAACCACUUUAAAGCUAAAUCUCAUUCAUUUGAUCAUAAAAUCGAUCCUCCAAAUGGUACACAAGAAAAACUGAAAAUUGGAUUAGCAUAGCUAAAAUAGGAGUGCAACGCCACAUGUUUCACCACUUUUUCUGGAAGCUUUCCCCAGCGUUGCAAAAACAGGUAAAUUAUACAAUACAUGGGACUUGGGAUUAUGUGCUCUUUCGCUAUAAUUUAUAGAAAAAUCCAUGUUUAUGGGGGCAGAAGAAGCACUAAAAACUCAAUAAUUUCCCCAAAAAUACUAUCUAGUUUUUUUACAGAUUAUUACAAAACACAAGAAGAAAAUUCAGUGGAUAACUUGUUUUGGCACAAUUCCUUCUUCAAAUUGGAAGCACCCUUGAGACUCUUUACAUUGGCUUUAGCCCCAUGAGAAAUCAACAACACAGCAACCUGAACAUGCCCAGCUUCAACUGCACAGUGAAGAGGGCUGUACCCAGCAUCAUCAACCACAUCAACUCGACCACCAUGAUUAAGCAAUACUUUUACGCACUCAAUCCUCCCCUUAAACGCAGCUCUGUGCAGAGGCGUCCAUCCAUUUUCGUCUCUAUCGUUCACGUUCGCUCCCUCUGCAAGGCAACUCCUUAUCCCAUUAACAUCGCCCAAUCUCGCUGCUCUAUGCAACAUAUCUCCCAGUUGCAGCAACCCAUAUAAAUGCGAAUUCCCAUUUUCUACUGCUACACCGAAAGCUGUCUUUCCUUCUUUAUUCACUGCAUAUUUUAUAUAACCUGAGCAUUCUAAUAAGCACUCCACAGCUUCUAAAUGCCCUUUCUCUGCAGCUAAAUGAAGCGGAGUGCACCCAUUACAGUCCACAACGUCGCCUCUUCCUCCAAUUGAAGCACAAAACCGAAUCACUUCAACAUGCCCACAACUUGCAGCGACAUGAAUUGGAGUUCUACCGUGUAAAUCAAUCGAAUUCACAUCAAUAUCUUUGAAAUUACGACAAAGAACCUCAAUCAGAUCCACUCUGUUUAUCGCUGCUGCCUCGUACAAAACCUUAUCUAUUAACUCAUCAAUCAAACAACCAGAGGCGAUCAAUACCUUAACAACGUCUGUAUUUCCUACUUUAACUGCCUGAGUGAUCAUGGACCGUCCCUCUGAGUCCUUACAAUUCACAUCUCCACCGGCAUCUAUCAAUUGCGCUACCAAAUUGGCAUCACCAGAUAAUACAGCGGAUUCUAGCAGGGCAGUGAUCUGGGACCCCGAACACCCAGAUAUAGCCCUAUUAAAAUGGGAAGAGACAUCAGGUAUUUGGGCAUGAUUGGAGAUUAGAUAUUCAGCAACUUGGGGACCCACAAAUGAGAUGGGUAUGGUGGCGUCUUUAAAAAUAUGCGGUCCGGGUCUUGAAAACAGGCGGCGGAGAUCUUCCACAUGGGCCUUGCCGGUGGGAAGCAUGGCUGAUUUAACGGUGAUGACAUCAGGAGGGGCGCGGAUAGUGGGUUGAUCAGGAGACUGAGAGACGACGAGAGUAUAAGAUGAAGAGGAAAGGGGUGGGAUUAUAGAGAAGGCCUGAGUGAAAGAGAAAACAGAUGGAUUUGUGGUGGUCAAGGAAACUGCUACAGACAUGGUGUGCAUGAGGUUGGAUAACCUGAAAGUUGUGGUGCCCUUUUGGCCUCUCUUGAACGCAAUUUCCACUUCCUUCACGUCUGGCUUCACCAGUCUAUCCAUGGUGACAGAACCUCUCUGUAACUCUGUUUUCCCCCUUUCUCAUGAAAAUUGGAAGUCGGGUUUGUCAGGCUGAGAAGGAAAAGAGAGCAGAUGAAGAUGGUGAUGGUGUUGGCUGAAUGCUUCUUUUGCCUUUUGCCUUGGUUGAGGACAAUGACGAUGAGAGGAUGCAGUCUUGAUUGGGUUGUUUGAAUAAGCAGUAGGACUUGGGUAGAAAAGAGGACAAUCGAGGUACUAUCCUUGAUUGGUGGAUGAAGACCUGCCACUUGCUAUUUUGAAUUUUUCCUAGUUUCAUAUUGGUCUGGUGGGACAGUUUGAUGAAAUUUCCAGGUGUUAGUUAAAGGGUCAGAAUCAGAUUUGUUUAGUCGGAUUAGGGCCUGCGGUAUUGCAUGGAAUACUCCACCAGCUUUCGUACAAGAAAUUUAAGCUGACUGACUAUGCAAGCAAUGGAAUCCGCAUAAAACUGUUAUUUUCUGAUCUAUUCUGGCUUGAGAAUGCGACGGCCAAAAGUGCUCAUUUGUCUGUUAGUGUUAGGUCCUUAUAUUUAAUAUUCUGUAUUAUAAUCAGGAAAUUGGUAUGCUGAUUCUAAAUCAGGCUGCUAAUUGACAGAAUAGUAUUUAGUAUGAGAGUUGUUAAUUAGUUGGGUGGUUGAAGGUUUAGUUGUUUUUAGGAAUAAUAUAAGCAGAUUUCUGCAAUGACAUCUGCCCAAAAAAUACAUUUUUCA
rnacentral:misc_RNA from 1 species